rnacentral:rRNA from 1 species
AGGGGGGCUGCUCCUAGUACGAGAGGACCGGAGUGGACGCAUCACUGGUGUUCGGGUUGUCAUGCCAAUGGCACUGCCCGGUAGCUAAAUGCGGAAGAGAUAAGUGCUGAAAGCAUCUAAGCACGAAACUUGCCCCGAGAUGAGUUCUCCCUGAGACUUUAGGUCUCCUGAAGGAACGUUGAAGACGACGACGUUGAUAGGCCGGGUGUGUAAGCGCAGCGAUGCGUUGAGCUAACCGGUACUAAUGAACCGUGAGGCUUAACCUU